AGCGAACGCUGGCGGCAGGCUUAACACAUGCAAGUCGAGCGGGCAUCCUUGUGGUGUCAGCGGCAGACGGGUGAGUAACGCGCGGGAACGUGCCCUUCGGUUCGGAAUAACUCAGGGAAACUUGAGCUAAUACCGGAUACGUGCGAGAGCAGAAAGGUUUAUCUGCCGAAGGAUCGGCCCGCGUCUGAUUAGCUAGUUGGUGAGGUUACGGCUCACCAAGGCGACGAUCAGUAGCUGGUCUGAGAGGAUGAUCAGCCACACUGGGACUGAGACACGGCCCAGACUCCUACGGGAGGCAGCAGUGGGGAAUAUUGGACAAUGGGGGCAACCCUGAUCCAGCCAUGCCGCGUGAGUGAUGACGGCCUUAGGGUUGUAAAGCUCUUUUCUCCGGGACGAUAAUGACGGUACCGGAGGAAUAAGCCCCGGCUAACUUCGUG
rnacentral:rRNA from 1 species